GCCCGGGUGGCGGAACUGGUAGACGCAGGGGACUUAAAAUCCUCUGGCCUCGGCCGUGCCGGUUCGAGUCCGGCCCCGGGCAUCA
rnacentral:tRNA from 1 species